GAACUCUGGGAAAGAGAGACGGGCGGGAGAUUUGCUACUGUGAUGCGGAGAAAGUUGGACGGUUACCCUCAGUGGGAGGUGCAAGCCGCCGAACAGCUCAACAGAGACAACACGCGGAAGAUACCUAUCUAAGCCCAGACAGAAGCCCUUGAACAGGGGGCGCUGAUUCAACACAGGACCAAAGGCAACAGGACUGAGUGAACAUGGACUGAAACCCCCCAUAGCCAGCGAAGGGAACCGCCACAUUGGCUUGCACAUGCGCAAAAUGAAGGGAGUUGCACCUCUCCGCACCUGCACGCAAGUCUGUUCAAAGUGGACCAAAACCGCUGAAUUCGUGCUCAAUGAUUCUCAUGGUUCCGUGAUGGUGCUGAAUCCAGACGGGAAAGCAGAGUGCUGUGCAUGGGAGGCAGCUUUGGCAUUUCACAUACCAUGGACAGAGAAUACGUGGAGGGAGUCACGAGGGCGAGGUACUAUUUGAAAAACAAGGCAACUGGAAGACUUUGCUCAGAGGAAGGUACCCAGGAGCUGCUGCCAAAGAGCCAAAUCUCGCUUCUUCAGCUCAGCACCGUGGAGGUCGCCAUGCAGCUCUCCACGAGUUCCAAUGUUGAAUUCUUCCACAACAUUGAGCCUAAUGAAUACAUAGGUGAUUUAUUUAAACUCAAAUAAAAAACCAGCUUAGCCAACCUGAAGAAACUUGAGGAAGUCUUUAACCAGGAAACAUUUGGGUGGCUUCUGAAAUCCUGGGAGAGACAACUAGCUGAAAGAGAAUGAAGAUCUUCAAGCCUUCAUUAAGAUUGCCUCGCACUGUAGGGAAUGCAAGAAUUUUAACUCCAUGUUUGCAGUCAUCAGGUAAGAGGACCUGUCCUAUGAGAAGCUGACUCUACAGAUUUAACUAUAUAUAUAUACACUAGUUUUGGAAUACUAUAUAAUUAUAGAAAUAUUGACUUCAUAAUUGAUUCUGUAUGUGUGUUGUUGGUAUCGUAUAGCCUCAUGUACACUAAGCUAUGAUUGAUUCAACAGGCAGUUCUUUCUUAUUCUAAAUCUUAUUUUUUUCCCCCCAGAAGUUGGGGGCAGGUGUUACAACAGGCUCUCCCUGUAGUGGCCCAAGCUAGCACGGAACUCAGAUCCUAUUUCCCGAUUGCUGGGAUUACAGGUGUGCGACACCAUGUCCUCCUCUAUUUUUUUAAUUAGGUAUUUUCUUCAUUUACAUUUCCAAGGCUAUCCCAAAAGUCCCCCAUAACCCCCCCCCCGCUCCCCUACCCACCCACUCCCACUUCUUGGCCCUGGCGUUCCCCUAUACUGAGGCAUAUAAAGUUUGCAAGACCAAUGGGCCUCUCUUUCCAACUAGGCCAUCUUCUGAUACAUAUGCAGCUAGAGACACAAGCUCUGGGGCGUACUGGUUAGUUUGUAUUGUUGUUCCUUCCUUCCAUGCUUCCUUCUUCCCUUCCUUCCUUCCUUCCUUCCUUCCUUCCUUCCUUCCUUCCUUCCUUCCUUCCUUCCUAAGACAGGGUUUUGCUCUACACCAGGCCAGUCUACAUCUCCAGGUCCUCUUUCCUACCUUAGCCUCCCAAGUGCUGGGCUUAUGAGGUCAUAUCAGCUCAUCAUAUCAAUCAUAUUAAUCUACAGUUAAGAUUGAGAUUACAGGAAAAUAUGUGUAAAGCUAACAGAAAUAACCCUUUCCUUGAGAGAGCUUUUUGUUGUGUUUACUAUGAAUAGUUUUUGCUGGACUGAUUUCUGCCUUGUCUUGUCAAGAUGGUCAUCAAUGAACAAUCUGUCCAUACAGGUUUAAUAAUUUCAAAAAAAUAUCUUGACACUUUGAAAAACUUGAUAAAGUAUGAAUUAUAAACACAAA
rnacentral:lncRNA from 1 species